CCAGCUAAGUGCUCACCUUUAGGAACUGUCCAAGGCUCACAGGGGGUCAGACAUCCCCGGGGGGCUCUAGGAGCCCCUAGGGGCUUGCCACAGCUGAGUGCCGCCUAGUGAUGGACUUAAAUUCUGAUGAUACAGAUCACUCUCCAGCCGUUGUCGUGACUAUAGAGCCCACAGAUCAUCAUUCAUCAAGGAAUGUAGCCUUUGACCUCACCAACUACCAGUCAGCAAUGGAAGUCACGAGUGACCCCUUAGAACACCUUCUGAAGGCUAUACCUUCUGAUCUCUCUACCUGUUCCUCCAGCUGUUAUAUCUCCAGCCCUAGUUCUGCAGUGGAUUUAAGUACCGAUAUUUCAUCCUCCUCAUCUGCCAUGGAUAUAGCCACAGAACCCAUAGACAAUCAUUUCACCAUAUUGCUACCCUCUGCGUCCCAGCCUUCACUGAUGGUUAUAGAACAAAGCAUCGACCCCACAACCCUUUACUUAAAGUUUGAUACGACUGAGGUCACACCUCGGGAGUCAGACAUGGAUGUAAAUGAGGUCGCAGGCCACUGCUCAGUCAUGGAUGUAACUAGCAGCACCAACCUACGGAAGAAUUAGAGAAGAGUUCAGGAUCUCUGAUCUCGGGCCUGAGAAGAAAGUGAACAUGAGUCACAGAGAAAGAAAGAGAGAAAGAAAGGACUGGGGCUUGGCCAGUGGCCACGUUCUUUGCACCAGUGAUGGGUGGCAGAGGGUGCUACUGGAUACCAAAGGAAGAAGGAAGCAGUAACAUCUGGAGUGGUGUCUUAUGAUUGGGAUGCUUGAAGCUGAAGCUGUCUCUUCUUCUGAACAUCUGAAGUCUUCUGCCCACCUGUAACCCAAACUCCUCUCCUCCUUCUUGCUCCAUAGAAGGAUCCUUUGCCAGUGUGUCUCUUCUGCGACUCAGAGAAGAAUGGGAAAUCUUUCUUUCCCUUUUUUCCUCCCACCUUGCAGACUUCAGAAGCCACAGAGAGGAAUGUCCAUCAUACUAGCUGCCAAGUGCAUGGAUUUUCAGCCUCUUCUGGAGAGCGAGAAGCUAGGUUCGGGGUGGCCAAGAAGCAGAGAAUGACCUCCAACAUAAUGGAAUAGAUUCAUAUGUUGGCCUUGGGUAUAGGACUUGGUUUACGAAGUCUAGAGUGCUUCAUUAACAGGGGAAGGGUAAUUAGUCGGCUUGUUAUGAAAAAGCAAAGGGGUGCCAAAGUUUGCAGGGGGGGAAUCUCACUGCUGAUCCAUGGAGAAUAUAGGAACUCAGACUCAGGGGUCUCCUUGAAGGCAUCCCACAGGUAUGGGAAAGGCUCCCAUCUGUCCAAUUGGCCAUUUGGCUUUUUUCCGAAACCAGCAAAGCACAUUUAAUGGGGGGAGGGAAAAAGGGGGGCUGCUAUUUUGUCUCAGUAAUACUGUUACACAAAUCAACAUUCCAAUCCACCCACAUGCUUUAAAACUUCCUGGUUAUAAUAAGAACCAUCUCUAAGUUCUCGGACAUUCACGGAGGGGUUUGGUGACGGCUAAGCCUAGGGGCUUGGAGUGGAGCACAAGGGCAUGGGGACAGAGCAGAAGUCUGGAAAUUCUGAUUGCCUGAGUUCCUGAUGUGGUGCCUUGUCAGCUGUUCAUGCUUAGGAAAGAGCCCUAGCAGUCAAGUGAUGGUUCCUCCUUUAAUUAAACUCAAAUCCACAAGCAUUUAUUAUGCACCUACU